rnacentral:misc_RNA from 1 species
GUGAUUAUAGACGUUUCAGAUUAUAACAAAGAAACUAGGUAUCAAUAACGCGAAUUUUUCAUUAUUUCUAUAAAUCCAAAAACAAGAAAUUGCAUAAAUCAUGUUUCCAAUUAUGAUUUCUAAACGAGUAACUCUACAUACACCAUGAGGCAUUGCCUCCUAUUAUUAUCCCACUUCAGGGGAUACGACCAAAAUGAUUCGGCAAUGGAUCUUUCCGAGAGCAAUCCUGCUAGCGCUUGUAACACAAUCAAGGCAGGCCUCAUCCACCAACAGUAACAUUUAAAUUGAACAUAAUUCUCUCCGUUGCAUCAAAAAUGCUCUCCAGGUGCAAGUACACUACAAAAAUAAAAUUUGCAUCUACUAACCACU